GCCACAAGCUAGGAAGAGUGUUCUCACCAUAAUCCAAGCCAUGCAGGUAGCUUAAUCUCAGAAUUCCAGCCUCCAGUACUAAAAGUGGAGAUUUUCCCCAAAGAUGAAUUCUACCAACCACCCUAGAGGAAUGGGACCAACUGCUAUCAUAGGAAAUAUUGAAGUGUUAGGCAACUGAAGAUCAAGUUAUAUGAUUUGCCAAACACUGAUUAAGCAGCAGGAUCAAGCCGUUAUACCCAUGCAGAGUGGAAAGGUCAUGGUAUCUUUGCCUGUUUUCUCAAAACUAAGCAAGCUUCUGAGGCAUUUACUUCUACUCCGUUCCACAGGCCAGUAUCAAAAUUCU